rnacentral:rRNA from 2 species
AAAACUUUCAACAACGGAUCUCUUGGUUCUGGCAUCGAUGAAGAACGCAGCGAAAUGCGAUAAGUAAUGCGAAUUGCAGAAUUUCCGUGAGUCAUCGAAUCUUUGAACGCACAUUGCGCCCUUUGGUAUUCCGAAGGGCAUGCCUGUUCGAGCGUCAUUA